rnacentral:rRNA from 1 species
UACGGGGGGGGCAAGCGUUGUUCGGAAUUACUGGGCGUAAAGGGCUCGUAGGCGGCCAACUAAGUCAGACGUGAAAUCCCUCGGCUUAACCGGGGAACUGCGUCUGAUACUGGAUGGCUUGAGUUUGGGAGAGGGAUGCGGAAUUCCAGGUGUAGCGGUGAAAUGCGUAGAUAUCUGGAGGAACACCGGUGGCGAAGGCGGCAUCCUGGACCAACACUGACACUGAUGAGCGAAAGCCAGGGGAGCAAACGGG